rnacentral:rRNA from 1 species
UACAGAGGGGGCAAGCGUUGUUCGGAAUUACUGGGCGUAAAGGGCGCGUAGGUGGCCUUCUAAGUUGAACGUGAAAUCCCUGGGCUCAACCCAGGAACUGCGUCCAAGACUGGGAGGCUUGAAUCCGGGAGAGGGAUGCGGAAUUCCAGGUGUAGCGGUGAAAUGCGUAGAUAUCGUAAGGAAGACCAGUGGCGAAGGCGGGUCUCUGGACAGUUCCUGACGCUGAUGCGCGAAAGCCAGGGGAGCGAACGGG